rnacentral:lncRNA from 1 species
CAGGACACAGAGACGUGAGACACUGGGUUUCAGACCCAGGGAGGCAGGAUGCCGUCCUCAAGCUGAGAAUCACUCAUGACUGGGCUGAGUCACGCGUCCCCGAAUAGAACAGAGGCCUGCGGCAGAGCUGAGGACUCUCUUAAUGACACCUCCACGGAUGGCUCGCCUUUACAUGGAAAGAAGCUGGAAGAACUUUAAAAGAGAACAACCUUAUUGAGAAAGCUUUUUGAGAGACCCAUCUUGAUUUAAUUGUUUAUCACUGAGACCUUUUAUCAUCAAAUUCAAUGGCAACAACUGUAAAGAUGAUUAGGUCAGAAUAAAGAUGCUCUGAGUUACUGUGUAAAGCUUUUAGACACUGCGUUUUCAAUAUAAAAUAUAGAUGAAGGUUUUGCAACAGAAAUAGUGCCAACACGAGUUUCUAUGUAUGGUCCAUGUAGACUGAAGCCACAGCAAUAGUAGUAGAUUCUGGCUUUC